UAGGGAAUCUUCGGCAAUGGACGAAAGUCUGACCGAGCAACGCCGCGUGAGUGAAGAAGGUUUUCGGAUCGUAAAACUCUGUUGUUAGAGAAGAACAAGGACGUUAGUAACUGAACGUCCCCUGACGGUAUCUAACCAGAAAGCCACGGCUAACUACGUGCCAGCAGCCGCGGUAAUACGUAGGUGGCAAGCGUUGUCCGGUUUUAGUGGGCGUAAAGCGAGCGCAGGCGGUUUCUUAAGUCUGAUGUGAAAGCCCCCGGCUCAACCGGGGAGGGUCAUUGGAAACUGGGAGACUUGAGUGCAGAAGAGGAGAGUGGAAUUCCAUGUGUAGCGGUGAAAUGCGUAGAUAUAUGGAGGAACACCAGUGGCGAAGGCGGCUCUCUGGUCUGUAACUGACGCUGAGGCUCGAAAGCGUGGGGAGCAAACAGG
rnacentral:rRNA from 1 species